rnacentral:rRNA from 1 species
UACGUAGGUGGCAAGCGUUGUCCGGAUUUAUUGGGUUUAAAGGGUGCGUAGGCGGCUUUGUAAGUCAGUGGUGAAAUAUGGCAGCUCAACUGUCAAGGUGCCAUUGAUACUGCAGAGCUUGAGUACAGAUGAGGUAGGCGGAAUUGACGGUGUAGCGGUGAAAUGCUUAGAUAUCGAUCAAGAACACCUAUAGCGAAGGCAGCUUACUAGGCUGUAACUGACGCUGAGGCACGAAAGUGUGGGGAUCAAACAGG